CAAUUACAUGCACAUGGCCAAUUAUGCAAAUUAGGAUCGGGCUCCAAGGUCAAUGCAGCUUGAGGUGUUUUUGGAGACCCUUGGUGUGUCCCAGUCCACUUUGAGCGGUGUCCCGCCUCAUCUGCGCCACAUCCCCGACCAGACUUGCCUCUGAUUUGUGUACCUUUGAUGACUGCCAUUGACAUUGUUUUUAGAAUUAACUAUAAAAUAAGUUUAUAAAUGAUAGAUGUAGAUUUUAUAAAUGAUAAGACUGAAAAGUUUAUAAUAUACAUAUAUAAAAAAGUUAAGUUUGACUUAUUUCUUUGCUCUCUACUGUAAAGCAUAUUUUGGUCUUUGAAAAUAGCUAUAUAAAUCCCAUGUAUUGUUACAAUUACAUUACUGCUGCACUUGAAAUAUUUUAUAUUCAUUGUAUAAUAAAAAUUAAAAAUAACAUUUAAACCAGCUAUUGUUGAGAAUUAUUUGGUAUACACAAUAAAGUCCAUCUCUGCUAUGGCAGUAUAUUUUAUAUGGAAAUCUUAAACUGAAUAAAUCUUAAAUAUUGUAGUUUUUAGCUCAAUCUGAGCAAAAAUGAGAUUUUCAGAAUUGUGUGUCAGUGACGCUGAAAACGUAUGACACAAACCCUUCACCCAGUUAAAACACACUUUAAAAAUAUAUAUACAUUUUCAUUAAUGUACAGAUUUAUUCUCAUACCAUCACAACAGAGUACUGACUUCAGCUGUGCAACACACAAAACAAAUCAUAAAUAAAAUAAAAAACAAUAAAAAUAAAAAAACAAAUCGUAGCUGAUUUGGCCUGUCAAAUGGACCAAAGCAGAGAG